rnacentral:rRNA from 1 species
GCGUAUCGAUUAUUGAUUGAACGGUGCGUAGCCGAUAAUAAGUCAGUGGUGAAAGCUGCAGCUAACUGUGCACUGCGUGAUACUGUAGUCUUGAGUAUGGUCAAGGUAGGCGGAAUGUGUAAUGUAGCGGUGAAAUGCUUAGAUAUACACAGAAACACCGAUUGCGAAGGCAGCUUACUGGGCCGUUACUGACGCUGAGGCACGAAGGUGCGGGGAUCGAACAGGAUUAGAUACGUGGUAGUCCGCACAGUAAACGAUGGAUGCUCGCCGUCCGCGAUAUACAGCGGGUGGCCAAGCGAAAGCGAUAAGCAUCCCACCUGGGGAGUACGCCGGCAACGGUGAAACUCAAAGGAAUUGACGGGGGCCCGCACAAGCGGAGGAACAUGUGGUUUAAUUCGAUGAUACGCGAGGAACCUUACCCGGGCUUGAAAUGCGGACGAUCGGGGGUGAAAGCCCCCUUCCAGCAAUGGCGUCCGCGUAGGUGCUGCAUGGUUGUCGUCAGCUCGUGCCGUGAGGUGUCGGCUUAAGUGCCAUAACGAGCGCAACCCCUGCCCGCAGUUGCCAGCAUUCAGUUGGGGACUCUGCGCGGGGACUGCCACCGCAAGGUGCGAGGAAGGCGGGGAUGACGUCAAAUCAGCACGGCCCUUACGCCCGGGGCGACACACGUGUUACAAUGGGCGGUACAGAGGGAAGCCAGGCGGGGACGCCGAGCAGAUCCCCAAAAACCGCUGUCAGUUCGGAUCGGAGUUUGCAACUCGAGUCCGCGAAAAUGCAUUCGUUAGUAAUCGCGCAUCAGC